rnacentral:rRNA from 1 species
CGUGUCAGGAUGAACGCUAGCGGCAGGCUUAACACAUGCAAGUCGAGGGGCAUCGGGAGUAGCAAUACUUGCCGGCGACCGGCGCGAGGGUGCGUAACGCGUGAGCAACAUGCCCGUAUCAGGGGGGAUAAUCCAUGGAAACGUGGUCUAAUACCCCAUAGUAAUUAUGUAAGGCAUCUUAUAUAAUUUAAAGCUUUGGUGGAUACGGAUUGGCUCGCGUGACAUUAGCUAGAUGGUAAGGUAACGGCUUACCAUGGCUACGAUGUCUAGGGGUUCUGAGAGGAAGGUCCCCCCACACUGGAACUGAGACACGGUCCAGACUCCUACGGGAGGCAGCAGUGAGGAAUAUUGGACAAUGGAUGGAAAUCUGAUCCAGCCAUGCCGCGUGCAAGGAAGACCGGCCCUAUGGGUUGUAAACUGCUUUUGUAUGGGAGCAAUAAGGGCUACGCGUAGUCCGAUGAGAGUACCAUACGAAUAAGCACCGGCUAACUCCGUGCCAGCAGCCGC